rnacentral:rRNA from 1 species
UACGAAGGGGGCUAGCGUUGCUCGGAAUCACUGGGCGUAAAGGGUGCGUAGGCGGGUCUUUAAGUCAGGGGUGAAAUCCUGGAGCUCAACUCCAGAACUGCCUUUGAUACUGAGGAUCUUGAGUUCGGAGAGGUGAGUGGAACUGCGAGUGUAGAGGUGAAAUUCGUAGAUAUUCGCAAGAACACCAGUGGCGAAGGCGGCUCACUGGCCCGAUACUGACGCUGAGGCACGAAAGCGUGGGUAGCAAACAGG